GGGGCUGAUUCUGGAUUCGACGGGAUUUGCGAAACCCAAGGUGCAUGCCGAGGGGCGGUUGGCCUCGUAAAAAGCCGCAAAAAAUAGUCGCAAACGACGAAAACUACGCUUUAGCAGCUUAAUAACCUGCUUAGAGCCCUCUCUCCCUAGCCUCCGCUCUUAGGACGGGGAUCAAGAGAGGUCAAACCCAAAAGAGAUCGCGUGGAAGCCCUGCCUGGGGUUGAAGCGUUAAAACUUAAUCAGGCUAGUUUGUUAGUGGCGUGUCCGUCCGCAGCUGGCAAGCGAAUGUAAAGACUGACUAAGCAUGUAGUACCGAGGAUGUAGAAAUUUCGGACGGGGGUUCAAAUCCCCCCAGCUCCACCA
rnacentral:tmRNA from 1 species